AGAGAAUCACUUGAACCCAGGAGGCAGAGGUUGCAGUGAGCCGAAGUUGCACGACUGCACUCCAGCCUGGGCGACAGAG
rnacentral:snRNA from 1 species